UACGAAGGGGGCUAGCGUUGUUCGGAAUUACUGGGCGUAAAGCGCACGUAGGCGGAUAUUUAAGUCAGGGGUGAAAUCCCAAGGCUCAACCUUGGAACUGCCUUUGAUACUGGGGAUCUCGAGUCCGGAAGAGGUUGGUGGAACUGCGAGUGUAGAGGUGAAUUCGUAGAUAUUCGCAAGAACACCAGUGGCGAAGGCGGCUCACUGGCCCGGUACUGACGCUGAGGUGCGAAAGCGUGGGGAGCAAACAGGG
rnacentral:rRNA from 1 species